GACGAACGCUGGCGGCGUGCUUAACACAUGCAAGUCGAACGGAAAGGCCCUGCUUUUGUGGGGUGCUCGAGUGGCGAACGGGUGAGUAACACGUGAGUAACCUGCCCUUGACUUUGGGAUAACUUCAGGAAACUGGGGCUAAUACCGGAUAGGAGCUCCUGCUGCAUGGUGGGGGUUGGAAAGUUUCGGCGGUUGGGGAUGGACUCGCGGCUUAUCAGCUUGUUGGUGGGGUAGUGGCUUACCAAGGCUUUGACGGGUAGCCGGCCUGAGAGGGUGACCGGCCACAUUGGGACUGAGAUACGGCCCAGACUCCUUCGGGAGGCAGCAGUGGGGAAUAUUGCACAAUGGGCGGAAGCCUGAUGCAGCAACACCGCGUGCGGGAUGACGGCCUUCGGGUUGUAAACCGCUUUCGCCUGUGACGAAGCGUGAGUGACGGUAAUGGGUAAAGAAGCACCGGCUAACUACGUG
rnacentral:rRNA from 1 species